GGCGGUUCUUGGGUGAUGCACCCCGGAAUCAGGCUCCCUCCUCUCUGGUUUUGGGUGCAUCACCUGAGAACCACA
rfam:Myotis lucifugus cont2.24976, whole genome shotgun sequence.